UUUCAGAUACGUUCAUGGCAAGACUUGAAGAAAUGUUAGAUUCUUGUGAAUCAUGUUAUUAGAAACAUUACUGUGCUGUUGGACACACAGAUGCAGGAAAUUUGGCAAAUCAUUCUGGAUCUCAAGGGGUGCCUUCCAGCAAGCCAGCAGCAGAGAUCAGAAGGGCGCACUUUCCUUUUUAAUCUGGGACCGUGUUUUGCUUCUAGUGGCUGUUGAUGGCCCAUCUGAAAGGAAAUGAGCCCUUUCUGUAAGACUGCUAACCUCUCUGACAUGGGAGGUAUUUGGUGAUUUUCUGGAGCAGGGGUGCUGUGGGACGGCGACCCCUCUCAUCAUAACUUCAACAGCCGGAAACAGAGAUUCAACCGGAAUGUUCUUCAGAGCCCAUCAGCUGUGUGUGGGUCUCAGAGCUGCUCAUUACUUUGUUCCCUUCAUUCCACUACAGCAGCUCCCAGUCAUGACAACCAGUGGGGCUAAUUGACGUGAAAACUCAGCCCCAAGUGCCCAAGCUUCCCCAAAACAAUUGCUGGAUUGUUCCGGGACCUGUUGAUGCAACGAGCCUCCCGCUGAGAAGUUUGGCCCAUAAUUAGCAAGCAGCAGCUGUCAAGCCCAUCAGAUGGUUUUAGGUGAUGAAGCGAAGGAGACAAAGAAAUUUCUUCUUCUUCCCGGGCAGGGAAGACAGUCCGCGUUUGAGUGGAGCUGACAGUUCUGUAAAGGAAACUAAGUGAAUUUGGCUUCCAUUUCACUCUCAUGCUUUCCAGACUGAUACCGAACCUCUGAGGCUCAUCUUUCGAGCCUGGUUCCAUCACCCCCAGCUGGUGAGGCGACAAAGUCUUAAUGAAGCUCGGGAAAGGCAAGGAAGGUUGCAGGCUGGAAACCCCAUCUGCUCUACGCUCCAAUAACCCUUGAAGACCUCUGGGAAUUUUCAAAACGGAGCGUGUUUUGCUCUCCCUCGACCCUGAAAGGAAGUUCGAAAUGGGAUAGUUUUCACCUUGACAUUGACUUUUUGUAUUUGGGGAAAUGUGAAAUGAUGUCGAGUGAAAAAAAAGUUGGUGCUGGAUACUCGCGAUUCAAAUAAAGGUAGAUUUUCUUCUGUCGUUUACCUGCAUUUAAUGGAAAUGUCCUGGUGUGAGGGCAAGAGCCGCGGAUGGGGAGAAACUGGAUGGAAGUUGUCUGAUUUCUGGGAGCCUCGGUUGUCUCACCUGUACCUGGGAAUAUUCGUUAGAUAAUUAGAAUCUCAUCCAACUCCAAAAAUAUGUGAGUAGAUGGGUAGUGUCCUUUUUUUUUUUUUUUGAAGAUUUUAUUUAUUUGUCAGAGAGAGGACAAGCAGGCAAAGUGGCAGGUAGAGGCAGAGAGAGAAGCAGGCUCCCCCCUGAGCAAGGAGCCCGAUGCGGGACUCGAUCCCAGGACCCUGGGGUCAUGACCUGAGCCGAAGGCAGCGGCUUAACCGACUGAGCCACCCAGGUGUCCUAGUGGAUAGUGUCCUUAACCAAAUAUUGUAACAUACAUGGUUACGUUCUUAAAGUGGUUUCAUAUAAAAUCUCUCUCUCUUUAUAAAUACACAUUAAUGUUUGUAUGUUUAUAUAUAUGGGUGUGAUAAAGCUUUAUGGGCACACUGAUGUAUUAGCUAUUGUCCUCAUAUGUCGAUACCAGUUAGAAAUACAUGAGUUCAGCAGUGCCUGGGUAGCUCAGUUGGUUAAGCGUUCAACUUCUGAUUUCAGCUCAGAUCAUGAUCUCAGGGUCAUGAGAGCUGGCUCCAGGCUGGGCGUGGAGCCUGCUUAAGACUCCAUCUCUCCUCCUGCCUUCCCCCCUAAAAAAAGAGAAAGAAAUAGGUGAGCUCAAAAUGUGACUCACAUGUCUCUGGGUUGAAUGAGAAUGGGAAUGAGUUACUUAGCAUUGCAUACACUGAUAUCCACAGAGUCAUUGUCAUUAAUAUCAUUAUGCUCAUACCUGUGAGAAUUAUAACACUACAAAAGAGUUACCGAAAAAGCAGAAAUUCUGUUGACACUUUAUGUGUGCUAAAGGAACUGUGAUGGGGGAUCUCUCAAGAGAGGAAAAUUCCCACUUGCUUUAACUCUCACUGUAAAUGUAGUUCUUAAAAGGCC